rnacentral:pre_miRNA from 1 species
UUAGCUCAUAUUUGUAUGGAAUAGGAUCGUUUGCCUACGUGUGCCGCUAGGGGCGCUGUUCCAACUGCAUACAAAAUUGGGUUA